rnacentral:rRNA from 1 species
AAGCUCGUAGUUGAAUUUCGGGGUUCUACCGUUGGUCGGGCUAACAAGUCUGUACUAGCGUGUAGAAUCCCUACCUUCUGGGGAACCAUCAUGUUAUUAAUUUAGCGUGGUGGGAAACCAGGACCUUUACCUUGAAAAAAUUAGAGUGUUCAAAGCAGGCUUACGUCUGAAUACAUUAGCAUGGAAUAAUAAAAUAGGACGGUGGUCCUGUUUUGUUGGUUUCUGAAUCACCGUAAUGAUUAAUAGGGAUAGUUGGG